GACGAACGCUGGCGGCGUGCUUAACACAUGCAAGUCGAACGGAAAGGCCCUGCUUUUGUUCGUUGCUCGUGUGGCGCGCGGGUGAGUGACACGUGAGUGAACUGCCCUUAACUUUGGGAUAACUCCUGGAAACUGGGGCUAAUACCGGAUAUGAGCUCCUGCUGCGUGGUGUGGUAUGGAGAGUGUCGGCGGUUGGGUCUGGACUCGCGGCUUAUCAGCUUGUUGGUGGAGUAGUGGCUUACCAAGGCUUUGAGGGGUAGCCGGCCUGGGCGGGUGACCGGGGACAUUGGGACUGAGAGAGGGAGCAGACGCCUACGGGAGGCAGCAGGGGGGAAUAUUGCACAAUGGGGGGAAGCCUGAUGCAGCAACGCCGCGUGCGGGAUGACGGGCUUCGGGGUGUAAACCGCUUUCGACGGUGACGAAGAGGGAGUGACGGUAAUGGGUAAAGAAGCACCGGCUAACUACGUG
rnacentral:rRNA from 1 species